UCCCUGAUGGCUCAGUUGGUAAAGAAUCUGCCUGCAAUGCAGGAGAUCCCAGUUCAAUUCCUGGGUCAGGAA
rfam:Ovis aries breed Texel chromosome 9, whole genome shotgun sequence.